rnacentral:lncRNA from 1 species
AUUAAUAUCUUUAAAUAGAUUUACUAUAGUGCAAAAGUUAAAGUUUCCUAAACAAUUUAGUUUAUUGCUCUCUCAUAUAAAUGUGAGAAACACGUUCAAUCUCUCUUGUCCACACACUUGGCAAAUUUACGUAAAUAUUGCAAUUUCUAUACGUUAUUAUAGAUAUAGGAAAAUUUUGAAAAAAUGACAUAUUUAAGAAAACUGUGUUAAGGUAUUGAGACUUU